rnacentral:rRNA from 1 species
GACGAACGCUGGCGGCGUGCCUAAUACAUGCAAGUUGAGCGCUGAAGGUUGGUACUUGUACCAACUGGAUGAGCAGCGAACGGGUGAGUAACGCGUGGGGAAUCUGCCUUUGAGCGGGGGACAACAUUUGGAAACGAAUGCUAAUACCGCAUAAAAACUUUAAACACAAGUUUUAAGUUUGAAAGAUGCAAUUGCAUCACUCAAAGAUGAUCCCGCGUUGUAUUAGCUAGUUGGUGAGGUAAAGGCUCACCAAGGCGAUGAUACAUAGCCGACCUGAGAGGGUGAUCGGCCACAAUGGGACUGAGAAACGGCCCAAACUCCUACGGGAGGCAGCAGUAGGGAAUCUUCGGCAAUGGACGAAAGUCUGACCGAGCAACGCCGCGUGAGUGAAGAAGGUUUUCGGAUCGUAAAACUCUGUUGGUAGAGAAGAACGUUGGUGAGAGUGGAAAGCUCAUCAAGUGACGGUAACUACCCAGAAAGGGACGGCUAACUACGUG